rnacentral:rRNA from 1 species
AGUGAACGCUGGCGGUAGGCCUAACACAUGCAAGUCGAACGGCAGCACAGUAAGAGCUUGCUCUUACGGGUGGCGAGUGGCGGACGGGUGAGGAAUACAUCGGAAUCUACUUUUUCGUGGGGGAUAACGUAGGGAAACUUACGCUAAUACCGCAUACGACCUACGGGUGAAAGCAGGGGAUCUUCGGACCUUGCGCGAUUGAAUGAGCCGAUGUCGGAUUAGCUAGUUGGCGGGGUAAAGGCCCACCAAGGCGACGAUCCGGAGCUGGUCUGAGAGGAUGAUGAGCGACCCUGGAGCUGAGACGCGGUGCAGACGCCUACGGGAGGAGGCAGUGGGGAAUAAUGGAGAAUGGGGGGAAGCCUGAUGCAGCAAUGCCGCGUGGGUAAAGAAGGACUUCGGGUUGUAGUGACCUUCUGUCGGGAAUGAAAAGCGGCAGGCUAGUUCGUCGCUGUGCUGACGGUAGCUGGAUAAGAAGCACCGGCUAACUACGUG